CUAACCCGUCCGCCCACCAUGGUUCGCUACCUCCCGGCUGCUUCCCUCCCACCCGCCUCUAGGCGGAGUCUCAGUGGCAGGCACGGCGCUGCGGGAUGCGCUCCCAUUGGUGCUCUGCGGCCGGUCCCGCCCGUCGCCCCCUUGGCCCCUUAGGCAGCCGAUCGGUCCGAUGCAGUUUCUGGAGAGGUGAGGCGGGAGUACGUCUCGUAGGCCGUGCGGAGGGCAGCCUCCCGGGGGCCGCGUGUUCACUGCCGCGGAGCGCGGCUGCAGAGCUGCGGGAGCCGGAUCGGGCGCUGAUAGCUGCCCGCCGUUACUCAGCACAACCGGCACCCAUCCCCCGCCGGCCGGGGCUCGAGCGGCGGCGGCUGGGGAAGCGUGGGGCCGCCGCCUCCCAGAGGUGCGCCAGGUGCAGUGACCUGACAGAAGCCGAGCUUGUGACCUGUAGAUGGACUUGGGAUGGAAAAGUUAAAAUUGAGAUAAAAUGUCAGAUGCCUUAACACUAGGAAAGUAAUGUAAAUACCUGUCUUAGGUGUGCUGGUUUCCAGCAUGGUUCUUGGCAGAUUUUAUCACUCUUUCUACCUCUGAGAAAAACUAUUGUCUCAACAAAGAAUUUCCUUCCUCCUUCCCUCCAGUCUUUUCCCUGCUGUAAAUUAAGAGAAGGACACAAUGUCUGCUUUUUGGGGUGACUGUAUCUUGUAUGCCUAGCUUGCUUGAAGUAUGUGUGUAUUUGUUUUUUUUUCUCCUCUCACUCUGUCAGCCAAUGCUUGGAAUUGGCAGUAUAGGUUGUAAUGAUUUGACAAAUAUCUGAAAUAGAGCGUUUGGUUUGGGAUAGUAUUGUUAAAGCAUGGAAUAAGAAUAGUCACGUCAUUAAUAUAGUCUGAAUUCCUAGGUGCAAUAUGGGAAACCUUAGGUAAUAAUUUCUUUGAAGGGUUUGAAAACAUUUAUGUCAGCCAGUAUGUGAAGCAAGGAGGAGGUUAUGGGUGGAUUGUAGUGUACUGAGGGUCUAUAGUGUUUGCUAAGCCAGUAGAAGCAUCUUGUUUUGCCUUCUAAGUUUUGACUUUUGUGCACCUUUCAUACUUAUGAUACUGCUUACAGGAGCUCGUAAGUCAUGAUUGCAAUACUUACUCUGUAUUUAGGAAAUGCUGUAGUGAUUUUUGGCUGCAGAAACCUGCAUAGCCUUAGUACACUGCAAACACUCCAAAAUACUCCAAAAACUCUGAAAUUUAAGCUUGUUCUUUCCUGGAUAAUCAUAUUUUAGUUUUAAUAUCUGACAGAGCUUUUUAGAGUUGUCACCCUUCUUUAAUAAUAUGCUCAUUCUAAAGUAGCUGAUGAUAUAAAAUAAGCUAUUGUGUAGAAAUUUUUAUAUAUAUAUAUUUAAAUCUGUGUUUUGGUAAUUAUUUCCACUAAAAUUAUGUAUUCUGGAGAGGUUAUGUUCACAUUUUGCAGAAGUUUUCUUUUUUUUUAUAUAGGAUUGUAACUAGAAACUGAUACC
rnacentral:lncRNA from 1 species